CGUUGAAACACCGGUUUUUGUACGAUCUCCGAAGUUAAACAACGUCGAAGCUGGUUAGUACCUAAAUGUGUGACAGCUUGGGAAUACCAGUUGCUGUAAG